rnacentral:lncRNA from 1 species
GUGUAAUUUAUUUAAUGGUUCUCAAUAAUUUGUUAAAUGUUGUUGGAACACGGUUUGUAAAUUGAGAACAGUCCCUUAGCGAAUUUGUAAGGUUAGAGCAAUCCCAUAAAUAGCUUGAUUAAAUUCGUGAUUUGGUUCUGAAUAAUAAUAUUCUCAAUAUUUUUUAUAUAUUCUGUUUGUUUAUUUACUGUUUGUUUACAACUUUAAACCAGUUUGCACUAAAUUCUGUGCAGUACUCUUGGCCAUCUGGUCUCACUACCAGUUGGAUUUAGUUUGUGAAAUCGGCGGAUCUGAGCAACCGUGAGCGUGCACGUGAGCGUGCAUUGUGGUUUAUAUCGGUUCAGCAGUAUCCUUAAGCAAACUUAUUGCUCUCCUUAAGCAAACUUAUUGCUCAAGACCCUGCUGGAUCUACCCUAGCUCUGUUCAACCCCGAUCAGCGAAACAAUUUUUGAAACCGCUGUGCUGUUAUCAAUCUGUGAACUGAUCGGAACCCUUUCUAAGAAGAUUGUAUUUAUUAAUAAAGAUUUACGUUACUUAA